CUACGGGUGGCUGCAGUGGGGAAUAUUGGACAAUGGGCGAAAGCCUGAUCCAGCAAUGCCGUGUGUGUGAAGAAGGCCUUCGGGUUGUAAAGCACUUUUAGUGGGGAAGAAAGGUUCAAAAUUAAUACUUUUGAGCUGUGACGUUACCCACAGAAAAAGCACUGGCUAACUCUGUGCCAGCAGCCGCGGUAAUACAGAGAGUGCAAGCGUUAAUCGGAAUUACUGGGCGUAAAGCGCACGUAGGUGGAUUUUUAAGUCAGAUGUGAAAGCCCCGGGCUUAACUUGGGAAUUGCAUUUGAUACUGGAUGUCUUGAAUAUAGUAGAGGGAGGUGGAAUUUCUGGUGUAGCGGUGAAAUGCGUAGAUAUCAGAAGGAACAUCAGUGGCGAAAGCGGCCUCCUGGACUAAUAUUGACACUUAGGUGCGAAAGCGUGGGGAGCAAACAGGAUUAGAUACCCUGGUAGUC
rnacentral:rRNA from 1 species